GCUCUCCGGGUAGCUCAGUUGGUAAGAGCACGGGACUCUUAAUCUCAGGGGUCCUGGGUUCGAGCCCCACGUUGGGCA